rnacentral:rRNA from 1 species
GAUGAACGCUGGCGGCGUGCCUAAUACAUGCAAGUCGAGCGAACGGACGGGAAGCUUGCUUCUCUGAUGUUAGCGGCGGACGGGUGAGUAACACGUGGAUAACCUACCUAUAAGACUGGGAUAACUUCGGGAAACCGGAGCUAAUACCGGAUAAUAUUUUGAACCGCAUGGGUAAAAAGUGAAAGACGGUAUUGCGGGCACUUAUAGAUGGAUCAGCGCUGCAUUAGCUAGUUGGUAAGGUAACAGCUUACAAAGGUUACGAUGCAUCACAGACCUGAGAGGUUGACUCUUCUCACUGCACCUUAGCCGCGUUCCCGAUUCCUACGGGAGGCACCAGUAGGCAAUCUCGCGCCAUGGGCGUAAGCCCGGCGGAGCAACCCCCCGUGUGUUCUCAAGGUCCUCUGAUCGUAAAACCCUGUUAUUAGGGAAGAACAUAUGUGUAAGUAACUGUGCACAUCUUGACGGUACCUAAUCAGAAAGCCACGGCUCUCUACGUG